rnacentral:rRNA from 1 species
GGAAACUUGAACUAAUACCGUAUGCGCCCUUCGGGGGAAAGAUUUAUCGGAGUUGGAUGAGCCCAUGUCUGAUUAUCUAUUUGGUGGGGUAAAGGCCUACCAAGGCGACAAUAAGUAGCUGGUCUGAGAGGAUGAUCACCCACACUGGGACUGAGACACGGCCCAGACUCCUACGGGAGGCAGCAGUGGGGAAUAUUGGACAAUGGGGGCAACCCUGAUCCAGCCAUGCCGCGUGAGUGAUGAAAGCCCUAGGGUUGUAAAGCUCUUUCACCGGUGAAAAUAAUGACGGUAACCGGAGAAGAAACCCCGGCUAACUUCGUGCCAGCACCCGCGGUAAUACGAAGGGGGCUAGCGUUGUUCGGAAUUACUGGGCGUGAAGCGCGCGUAUGCGGAUCGGUCAGUUAGGGGUGAAAUCCCGGGGCUCAACCCCGGAACUGCCUCUAAUACUGCCGAUCUAGAGUUCUAGAGAGGUGAGUGUAAUUCCGAGUGUAGAGGUGAAAUUCGUAGAUAUUCGGAGGAACACCAAUGUGCGAAAGCGGCUCACUGGCUC